CUAGUCGUUAGGAAUCCUUGAUAAGCCCCUCUAUUGUUUUGAGAAGCCCUAUAUGAGGAGGUCUCGUAAGACAUAUUCUUUUACCCCCACUGAAGGUGAAGGAAAGUGAGAAACUCUCUCUCCGGAAAACUCUCCCGUUCGACCCCAACCAGACGAGUAUAGUAAUGGCAUUGGGAAAAUUCUUAAUGGGUAUAGGUCAGAAAUCAAAAGAAACAAUUCCACCACACCUCCGGAAAUUUGCAAAGGAAGUGUCUCAGAUUAAGGAACGGUCCAUCCACAUAUUUGACAACCCAAGUUUGAGGCAGGAGCACAACACGUCAAUCAAGCCAUACACCGUCUCGAGAGGACUGUCGACUAUCUACACCAUGAAUACAAAAUCUUAUGGAAGCGACAACAAGGACUGACUUACACUC